ensembl:lncRNA
UAGAAGUCAAUGUGGGAUUUUAAUAUAUAAACAAAAACACUUGACAGAAGUUUAAUACAAUUUUGUAAAGGAAAGCAGAGGAAAACAUUUUCCCAAAUGAAUCUUUUCAAAAUGUCACCAUCAUUCCGAAAGCAAGUGAAGAGGUUUGUGUAAAAGCAGUCCUCCCUGACCAGCUCUGUCCCUGACUCUAAACCCUGACUCUCAACCCUAACGCUAAACCCUCUGAGGGCAGGAAGACGCGCCUUCAGUGUAAAGGUUUGAACCACAGAGAAGGAAGAAAAGAGGAAGCAGGAGAGAGUAGUGAAGUAGUGAGGUAAGUGACAGACGUGAGGGAAAGGCGUGUGGAAGCACACGGUUACAUGUGGGGUCAAGAAGAUCACUCCCACUGGAGGUCAUUGAUCCAUCAGCCUCAGACUGCUGAGCUCAGCAGGUCUUCUGGAGGACGAGGCUCAGAUGAACUGAGGAGACGGGACCAUUAGGAUGCCAGGAUCAGGGCGGGCUUAGCUCAGGUGUGUCUACCCCCGACCAACAGGAUCAGGUGAGGUUCAGCUCAGGUGUGCCUGCCCGGACCAAACAAGGACAUUGAUUAGGUUCAAAAUUCAAAAGAUGCCACAUUUUCUGAACCAAAGAUAAGUCAUUAAGGAUCAGGCAGGCUUUUGGGUGCCUUGCUCAAGGACGCAUCACUGUAUUCUGAGGACCUGAACCCGGCACCAUUGGUUUGAGAGUUGAACACUCAACCCCCUACCUAGUCCAGAUAAUGCAAACUUAUGAGGAAUCCUUUAUGGUAGAGUACAGGUGGUCCUCAGGAUUUGCCUUCCAGAUGUACGGCUUCACCAUCAUUCCUCCAGAUUCCUGGUCUGGUUACAAACGCAAUUUGUCUCUAAUGUAAUGCAACAAACACAGUAGUAGUUUGUCUCUAAUGAAAGGUAACAAACACAGUAGUAGUUUGUCUCUAAUGUAAUGUAACAAACACAGUAGUAGUUUGUCUCUAAUGAAAGGUAACAAACACAGUAGUAGUUGGGCUCAAAUAUCAGGUAACAAACACAGUAGUAGUUUGUCUCUAAUGUAAGGUAACAAACACAGUAGUAGUUUGUCUCUAAUGUAAGGUAACAAACACAGUAGUAGUUGGGCUCUAAUGUAAGGUAACAAACACAGUAGUAGUUGGGCUCUGAUAAAAGGUAACAAACACAGUAGUAGUUUGUCUCUAAUGUAAGGUAACAAACACAGGAGUACUUGGGCUCUAAUGCAAGGUAACAAACAAAGUAGUAGUUGGGCUCUAAUGUAAGGUAACAAACACAGUAGUAGUUUGUCUCUAAUGUAAGGUAACAAACACAGGAGUACUUGGGCUCUAAUGCAAGGUAACAAACACAGGAGUAGUUUGUCUCUAAUAUCAGGUAACAAACACAGUAGUAGUUUGUCUCUAAUGUAAGGUCACAAACACAGGAGUAGUUGGGCUCUAAUGGCGCGUAACAAAGUAGCAGUUGUAGUUUGUCUGGUAAACAACCAUAAUAGUAUGCCGUAACUUGUACUGGACAAACUAAUCCUGCGUUACAACAAGUCCACUGUUUAUUUUAGGCAAACUUACGACGAUCCUGGUUGGUGGAGUGAUGUCGUCCUCCAGAGUCUUGGCUCCUCCAUCAGCUCUCCUCAGCCAGAGUCCUGGUCUGGAACAAACAGCGUGAGUCUGGCCCUAAAGUCUGGUAACAAACAUGUAGUUUGUCAUAUUUUUCAGCCCUUUAUUUCCAGUGUGUUUGGUUAUUACAAACUUGCGAUCCUUGUUGGCAGAGUGAUGGUCAUCCUCCAGAUUCACCGCUCCCCUACCAGCUCGCCUCCGCUCCAGAAACACGUUCUAGUAAGAAAACACAUCGGUAGUUGGUUAACGCAUAUCAAAGUGUAUUUUGCCCUAUAAGUCAACCAUGUAAGUAAAUACAAACUUACGAGGAAUCCUUGUUGGUCGAUUCCUAGUCGUCCUCCAGUGUCUCAGCUCCUCCAGCAGCUCUCCUCAGACAGAGUCCUGGUCUGGAACAAACAGCGGAAGUCUUGCUUCAACAUGUGGUAAAAACAGAUGUAGUCGUCUGGUAUAUAUGGUACAAACGCCGGUAGUUUGUGGUAGCAGUAUUCUACGAGAAGUGGCACUGAGUGUGAUGAUCACUUCAGAGUCAAGCUCCAUCUACCCCACGACAGACGUCCUUCACCAGGCAGGGCCUCCACCAGCUCCUCCACAAGGCAGGGCCUUCAGCACGACUCCUCCAUCAGCUCCUUCAGCACGGCUCCUCCAUCAGCUCCUUCAGCCAUGGAUUCCUGGUCUGGUUACAAACACGGUUCGUCUCAGCAGUAAAUCACCUGGGGACACAACACACCCCCACCUCCUGCAUCUGAGGUUCAAUUGUAAAAUGGAAGACAAAUUUAAACACUUAAAUUAGACAACGUCUGCAGAUUGUCGCGUUCAGCAAUUCAUCCACUACGGUCGUAGCAGAACUAGUAACAUUAAUGGCUCAUAUGACUCUUGCAUAACCCCCGUAUGAAUUAACUCAAAUCACAGCUUGGCACAGAUUUAAAGUCAUAAGAUGAUCAAAACCAGACCUAAACUACCGUGGAUUUUAGUGUUUCAGAUGAGCUUGGUGAUGGUUACCCUCUGGUCCGGUGCUGCAGGCCCCUGGUCUCCAGCCUCACUCUCCGGUCCACCCUGGCACCACAAGCCUCCGGUCCCCAGCCUCUCAGCCUCGCCUUUCAGCUACAGCAGCAGGUUUAUAUCAGCAUUUGCCCAACAAUAAUAUCAAUUGACUCAUCCGAAACCGAGUUACGCAAUUAAUUGAACUAUUAUUUUAUAAAUGACCUGUUCUGGAGGACUUCUGACAGGAGGUGGAGGUCUGGCUCUGGGUGAGGAGGUGGAGGUCUUGCUCUGGGUGAGGAGGCAGACACCUUGGAACAAACUACAUGUUACCUUUUUAACCUUGUACAGUUGUUGUGUUCCACUGGCUGAGAGGAAGAACCCAAACAUCUUCCUCUUGGCCUUUCUCCUCUGAGAAUCGUGGCGCCAUCUUAAAGGAUAUUCCAGCUCAUGUAACUGAUGUCACGACAGAUUCUCAAACACAUGGUUUCUCCUGAGGGGAGCGUCUAUAGAACUGAAGACUUCAGCAGGAAUGUCUGUGUAUUUACAUUUUAAACUGUUCAUGGGCUGGUCUAGUUUGUCUGCAAAUAACUCUGCCUCCAGCAACAGGAUUGGUCGAAUCAUAUGAAGUGAAAGAAAUAAAAGCUCAGUUCACCAGAUCUGAGGUCAGCUGCGGUCAG